ACGAGGGGUCCUAGCGUUGUUCGGAAUCAUUGGGCGUAAAGGGUGUGUAGGUGGCUUGCUAAGUCGGACGUGAAAUCCCUCAGCUUAACUGGGGAACUGCGUCUGAUACUGGCGAGCUUGAGUGCAGGAGAGGAACGCGGAAUUCCAGGUGUAGCGGUGAAAUGCGUAGAUAUCUGGAGGAACACCGGUGGCGAAGGCGGCGUUCUGGACUGCAACUGACACUGAGAAACGAAAGCCAGGGGAGCAAACGGGA
rnacentral:rRNA from 1 species